AUUGAACGCUGGCGGCAUGCUUUAACACAUGCAAGUCGAGCGGCAGCGCGGGGGGCAACCCUGGCGGCGAGCGGCGAACGGGUGAGUAAUGCAUCGGAACGUACCCUGGAGUGGGGGGAUAACGCCGCGAAAGCGGCGCUAAUACCGCAUAUGCUCUGAGGAGGAAAGUGGGGGGACCGCAAGGCCUCACGCUCUGGGAGCGGCCGAUGUCCGAUUAGCUAGUUGUGGGGUAAAGCUUACCAAGGCGACGAUCGGUAGCUGGUCUGAGAGGAUGAUCAGCCACACUGGGACUGAGACACGGCCCAGACUCCUACGGGAGGCGAGCAGUGGGGAAUUUUGGACAAUGGGGGCAACCC
rnacentral:rRNA from 1 species